rnacentral:rRNA from 1 species
UGGAACUCCAUGUGUAGCGGUGGAAUGCGUAGAUAUAUGGAAGAACACCAGUGGCGAAGGCGGCUGUCUAGUCUGUAACUGACGCUGAGGCUCGAAAGCAUGGGUAGCGAACAGGAUUAGAUACCCUGGUAGUCCAUGCCGUAAACGAUGAGUGCUAAGUGUUGGAGGGUUUCCCCCUUCAGUGCUGCAGCUAACGCAUUAAGCACUCCGCCUGGGGAGUACGACCGCAAGGUUGAAACUCAAAGGAAUUGACGGGGGCCCGCACAAGCGGUGGAGCAUGUGGUUUAAUUCGAAGCUACGCGAAGAACCUUACCAGGUCUUGACAUCUUCUGCCAAUCUUAGAGAUAAGACGUUCCCUUCGGGGACAGAAUGACAGGUGGUGCAUGGUUGUCGUCAGCUCGUGUCGUGAGAUGUUGGGUUAAGUCCCGCAACGAGCGCAACCCUUAUUAUCAGUUGCCAGCAUUCAGUUGGGCACUCUGGUGAGACUGCCGGUGACAAACCGGAGGAAGGUGGGGAUGACGUCAAAUCAUCAUGCCCCUUAUGACCUGGGCUACACACGUGCUACAAUGGACGGUACAACGAGUCGCGAAGUCGUGAGGCUAAGCUAAUCUCUUAAAGCCGUUCUCAGUUCGGAUUGUAGGCUGCAACUCGCCUACAUGAAGUUGGAAUCGCUAGUAAUCGCGGAUCAGCAUGCCGCGGUGAAUACGUUCCCGGGCCUUGUACACACCGCCCGUCACACCAUGAGAGUUUGUAACACCCAAAGCCGGUGAGAUAACCUUCGGGAGUCAGCCGUCUAAGGUGGGACAGAUGAUUAGGGUGAAGUCGUAACAAGGUAACCA